UACGUAGGGGGCUAGCGUUGUCCGGAUUUAUUGGGCGUAAAGAGCGUGUAGGCGGCCAGAUAGGUCUGCUGUGAAAACUCGAGGCUCAACCUCGAGAUGUCGGCGGAAACCAUUUGGCUAGAGUCCGGAAGAGGAGAGUGGAAUUCCUGGUGUAGCGGUGAAAUGCGCAGAUAUCAGGAAGAACACCAAUGGCGAAGGCAGCUCUCUGGGACGGUACUGACACUGAGACGCGAAAGCGUGGGGAGCGAACAGG
rnacentral:rRNA from 1 species